rnacentral:rRNA from 1 species
UACGAAGGGGGCUAGCGUUGCUCGGAAUCACUGGGCGUAAAGCGCACGUAGGCGGAUCUUUAAGUCAGGGGUGAAACUCCCAAGGCUCAACCUUGGAACUGCCUUUGAUACUGGGGAUCUCGAGUCCGGAAGAGGUUGGUGGAACUGCGAGUGUAGAGGUGAAAUUCGUAGAUAUUCGCAAGAACACCAGUGGCGAAGGCGGCCAACUGGUCCGGGUAUGACGCUGAGUGCGAAAGCGUGGGGAGCAACAGG